CACAUAAUAAAAGGAUAGUUCACCCAAAAAUAAUAAUUCAGACAUUAUUUCCUCACCCUGGUGUUGUUCUAAUGCAACUGUAACAAAGCGAAUACAGCUUCAUACAUCAGAACCCAGAAUGACUCUGGUCUUACCAUUCAGCUGCUUUAACUUUAAGAUGUUAAGAACUUUUGCAGAUCCUCUUGCCAGAUUUGUUCCACAAUGCACCAAUUUUAGAACAAGAAUUUAAAAAUAAAAAUGGAUGCAAGAAAUUUAAAAGGAGAAAAGGGUAAGUGAAAACCUUGCAAAUAAAUUAUCUGUUCA